UGCAUCAGUAGGGAAUAACCCGGGGCGCUCGCGUGGCAGGCGAGCAUUCUACAAACUGAACCACCGAUGA
rnacentral:tRNA from 1 species